UCUUGACCAUUAGACCUCCCUAAGAGGAUCAUUUUGAGAAACUCUCUCUUCCUUCUCAUGAAGCGUAUCAACUCAAAAAAUGUGGUGCGAUGCUGAGUUGUCCUUGCGAUAUUUCCACACCUGGAAGCUUUCUUCUAUAAAUCUCUAAGGAUUGGCAUCAAUCGGUGAAGAUCUACUGAGCAUGGAUUUGUCUUUUAAUCGUCAGAGAUCCACUGGUAACGAUCAGUCGCUGGUGUCAGAGCCUGCAAUCUCUCAUCAGAUCCGUUCUAAUCCCUGCUCAUCGAUUUAUACGUUUUCACCUCAUUCUGCACAGAAUCCCUUCAGCUCAAAGUCAAUCAGUCUUUCACAGUUCCCCCCGAAAUCUCAUUGCUGAUAAUCUACAAAUCGUGACCAACACUAAUCUGCUGGCACUUUUUCGAAGGCUUCCAAAUAUUUACGCGUUCCAAAUGCAUACAGUUGGAGUAUCCAUUUCUUGACUGGACAUCUUUUGAUUUUAUGGUGUAUUGAGAAUGUCACCGACGUCACAAAUAGUAACAUUCAAGCAAGCAACAUUUUAUAAAGCGUACAGUGAAUACAUGCAAUACCAACAAACUGAACAUUGAGCCGGACCACUCGUUUACAUAUUUAAGUGUGUGAAAAGUGAAUGUCGUUUUGAUAGAAAGUUAAUAGCAUGUUUGCAGCAUUUUUUAAAAAAACGUAGAAUUUUUCUUUUUGCGGGACAUGUUAAUGUUGUUAAACCGCGCAUCUUUAACUCAUUGUUCCCCUGGCCGUUGUACUAUUAAUUUGCUCAUUUGUUGGGCCAGUUAUUCUGCCCAGUUGCAAGAACAAUACGAAACCUCAGUUGCACGCAGUUACUCGGCAACGUAGAUGGACACAUGCGAACCAAUCAGUCAAAUACUUCUUUCGGACUUCAGAAACUUUGAUUCGCGAAACUGCUGAACUCUAGCGCCGACCGGACUGUUGAACUGAAAAUAGCUGAGAGCGCCAUGUGUUUUGAAUAUUAAUGUUUAGAUAAUUUGACGUUGAAACUGGUCGAGGUAGGGCGAUCUCUGCGUGCGGUGAACAAGGACUUGCUCUGUCAUUGAGGUAGCUGCAUGAGUGUGUGCUAAAGAGAUAGUUUUACCAAGAACCCUGUCACUCUGCCCGUUCAAUCGAGAUGCCGCAUUGGAGGUGCUGGUAGAGGUGAAUAUGUCAACCUGCUUCUAUUUGAAACAUUGACAUAGAGAAUCAUCUGGCAUUCAACGUGCAAACGUGGACAGAAGUGCUAGUGCAGGAUUUUUUUGAUCUGUUGAGGUGGGAAUGGCGCGUUAUUUUUCUGCACUGAACAGUUAAUGCUUAUAUUCUGGUGUGAAUCAUUGCUGCCCUGUCAUUGACAGCACGUACGAUGGGCAGCAGAGUUGCUGCAGUUUCUGGAACCAAGUGAACGUGGUGCACUUUAGCAAUUAUAUUUGCAUACUUCUCGAUGUUUUCAUGGCGAAUAUCGAUCCAAUGCAGUUCUUUUGAACGCCUGCGUUAAAAAAAACACCGAUUGCCCCGACUUUGAGCGCUGAGUAGUGAUAAAAUGUCCUUCCCUGUUUGUACACAACAUUGAUUGCCUGCUGCUUUAUUUAUCAGCCUCCGAGCUUUGCACGAACUGCUCUGACACGCUAUAAAAUGCUGUGUGUUAAUAUAAAUCCCACUGCAUUUAUCCCCACACUCACUCACGCCCUUAUAAAUCGAAUACACGUCUUGUUUGACCUUUGACAAGAUUUAAAGACUUGGGAGGAAAAUCCUCGUGACUUUCUUGUCAUACCGACAUCACCCAUAUGUUAGAAGUGAAAGUAUUAUGCGCUGCUAUUUGAAAUGAUGGCAAGCGCGCCCCGAAUGGACGCUGCCAAGCGCCUGACGAGAGCAGCCGCUAGCAUUUUAUGAGCGUGUCCCCAUCAAUCAUCUCUCGCGCGAUCGAAAGCGUUUUUUUUAAGACAAUGCAAUAAGUGCGCUACAAGACUAGCGUUUUCCAAAUCAUAACAUGUGGGCCUGGGAUAGGUGGAGAUUGCAAUGAAAGCGUGCGGAGGGGUGUAAUCUGCGCGGUUUGAAGUAUCCGUCCGUGUGUGUUUUAAAGCAGGGAGUGGAAAGUGCUCUGUGGAGCUUAGCCACGGCUCCACAAACCGUGGCCAACUGAUGGCCAGCACCAGCUCGUAGGUAAAUUGAAUGCAGGACUGAGUCUCAUGGGAAACUGCAAAAGUCAACAGCAGAGCACAAUGAUCGAGGCUGACAUGAGCACUUACUGGAGUGGGGAGGGACGAAUAGAACCUAAAGGAGAUAGAAUUUAAAACAUUAGAUUUGAAACAAGAUUGAAAGCAGCACGGGGACUAAAACAGUCUCUCAUUGGCAACAGGGGCAUUUUUAUUCUUACAACCAAGACUUUGCUUUGCAUCUUGCAUUGUGGAGCCAUGCCAGAGGCCUGAGCUAAUCUCCUCUCCAAUACUUUCGGGAGAGAACACUAUUGGGUGAGGACAGUCCGAUGAUCAACAUCAACUAUAUCACUGAAGUCACCGAGCAAUCCAAAACCUUAAACAUUUUCCAUCGUUUGUUCCAGGUAGAUAUUAAAAUUGCCACCCAUGUAUCAUUGCCACUGGACUAGGCGUAGAUAUACCAUCAACUGACUGAAUUAACACAAACGGGAUGAAUGUAUCCGGGAAGCAAUGAGUGAAAACGCAAACACUCUCCAUUGAUUGGGCCCCAAGACGAAAAUCUCACUGAGAGGGUAUGAAAGAUGGCGGCUUCGAUGAGUACGUGGUUCAAUAACGCGAACAUCCUUCAACUGAUUAGAGCCGAAAAAAUGUCCAGCUUCUAAUAUCCAUCAGGAGCUUUUGUGUAAAACACACCUUCAUCAACUGUGACAUAUUUCAGAGAUGUUGCUAUGUUUUACUAAACUCGUUGGAAAUAAAAAAAAACUGAUGAGAAAACACAAUACCAGUAGAUUGAUUUCACGUGAAAUUACUCCAACUAAUGUUUGCACUGACUUUUGCUGGUUAUUUGCAGAUGAAUUGAAAGUAACCAAGUCACUGGUGAAUGUAACACAUAUUUGAAUAUUGCUCUGACUGUUGAUUGUUCAGGUCAAUCGACACCACCCACAGAAACUGCGGAUGCUGGAAAUCUGAAACAGAAACAGAAAAACACGUCAGGCAACACCCGAAGAGGCAGAAACAACGUUGCCAUUUCAGUUCGAUAAUCUUUCAUCAGUUUUGAUUAAAUGUCAUUGACCUGAAACGUUAACUGCGUUUCCCCUCCACAGAUGCUGCCUGACUGGUUGUGAAUUUUUCGCACUUUGUUUUCUUCGUCUCCCUUCUAACGUCUGCCGACCAUUCUGUUGUGUACUUCAUGUUACCUUAGGUGCAUUGUUGUCACAAUAACGCGUCAAAUCUCAAAAUACUCACGAAACUUCACAAAACUACAACAUACUAAGUUAAACGUCCUUACACACUGCAGUUUAAGGACAAUAGCAGCUAUGUAUGAGUGAAUAAAAUGACAGUCGUCCAAUCCCUUCAUUCGGAGAACUUUAACCAAUUGUUCGUUUUUAGCCAUUUGUAUUAUUACAGUCUCUCUCGCUGUAUCGGUUAUAAUGUCAAAGGUGCGCAUAUAUUUCCAGUAAUGUUCUACAGUGUUGUUAGCAGUAUACUGGGACAGGGCCAGUUAACUUGAUCUUUCGGGAAUGUUGAUUGAUACGGCACCCUAAAGAAAAUGUGACAAUAAGACAGAAUACAAUUUCUAUUCUUUAUCUUUCUCUCUUUGUAGUAGUUAUGUUACUGUGUCGCUCAUAUUAGAUCUCAUAAUAUUGCAAUUCCAAUGACGCAAACUAAUCCUUAAAUAAUAUGCAGUGUGUAUCCCUGUUAUGGAUCCAGCUCUGUUUCCCAGACCAUAUAACAUAUUUCCAUUAGUGAUAUAAUUUCGCAAUACAGCGAGCACCGUUAACCGGCUGUACAUAUUAUUUUCCACAUACUGUAAAUCAACCCUCACAUUGCGUAAGACUUUAUUUCAUGAUAUCGUUGCAUGCAUUGUAGGUAACGUAAUUUCUCACAUUGUAUAUUGUUGCAUUUAAAAGUCUAUAUGCAAAAGCAUCCACUACAUAAAAAUUCGCCAUAUAUAUCUUGUAACAUCAAUUUAUACAAUCGUGUCUUGUAUUAAUUAUAUAACAACCCGCCACCUAUGAAAGACUAUCAUCAAGACGAAAUGACGUGUUUCUAUAUUGCAAAUACAAGUUUUGAACCUGUACAAACAGUACUUCUAAUACAAAGUAUAUC